rnacentral:lncRNA from 1 species
CACAGCCUCCUGCCCAGCCCCCUUUCUGCAGUCACCACGGACAUCUGGAUGCUGCAGACCCAGGAGAGCCUCAGGUCACAGCUCACGAGUUUUUGAGGAAAAGUCACAAUUCUCAGAACUGCCAGAAGACCUAAAAACAAGCUGACUCAUUUCAAACAUGCCUCAAUCUCCACCUCAGCAAGCCUGGUUGUUAAGAAACAACCCAGAAAGCGAUGGAAACCCCAAACCAGAAACCAGAGUUGCAGACAACCAUCUUUUCAAAUUUAGUUUCUAACCUGGCUUCCUUUCUUUCAGGAAUGGAGCAGCUCUUUUGGCAAGUUCUGUGAACCCUUUGGUUUGUCUCUGCUGCAUCUGGGCAGUGAUGGCACAGGAGGUGAGGGAAUCAUUUUGCUUCUCCUGAGGCAGAUUCACUAAAAGGUCCCACCCUAUGGACCAGAGCUGAGGAGCUGACUGCAAGCUCACACAGGUGAUGUUCCUUAAAUCCUUAACUUCCAGAAGGACAGAAUUGCAUCAGAACCUCCACUUUCAGCUCACUCAGCUCAGUUCAUCUCAUCUCUUACCUGGGCCAAGACAAGUGCUGGCCACCUCACCCUUCAUGGAGAUCACUGGACAAGAGGAGUCGAGGCCACUGUCUGCUGUGAGCUUCCCAGCUUGUCCACCUGGGAAUUGUAAAAUUCCCUUUCCACGCACAGAGGUAUUGAGGAGAUAUUGCCAAUGUUGGGAUCAUCUACAGGGGUUCCACAUCUUCGUGCUUCAGGCAUCUCAACCGAAGCAGCCAAAAACUGGGCCAGGGCAACAGUCCAAAAUUUUAGUGGUGAGCCUCCAAAAUUCAAGACACUCAGGGAAUGCAUGUUGGGGAAUAAUAUGAGAAUGCUGAAGGAAAAAAAAAAAGAGAGAAGGGCGUAUUUAAUUUGUAUCCAAUAUUAAUAUUUCAAACAUUGGUACUGUCAAUUUGGAAUAAAAGCCUGUGUUUGAAAUGCCUGUGAAAGCCA